rnacentral:lncRNA from 1 species
CUUAAGAGCAGGCCUGAAAUAUCAGAAAUCCAUUGUGUGAAGGAUUCAAAGGUUCCUUUGAUGCGGUUUACAUUUGAUGGGAUUUCAGUUGAUCUUCCAUAUGCUCAGCUUAAAGUCUUAAAUGUUCCUGAAGAAAGUAUGCAUACCUUGGACUUGAACAGAUUUUUUGGUGGAUGAAACAUUCUUCUAAACAUGAUGUUUGCAGUGUUCUUUCCUUGUCAGGAUUGAGUAGAUGAUUGAAGUGCUUUUUUUUUUCUUUUUUUUUUCGUUCUUACAAAUUGCUUUCAUUGUAUCUAGUAACGUGGUCAAUAGAUGUGCUGUUUGCUGCUCCGGUUUGAUCAAUCGUGGUUCUUUUGCCCAGUUGAUAACAAGGAUAUUUGACAUUUCGACUUGCUGAACCGCAGAAUGUGGACAUACUCAAUCUAUCCCUUUUGACUAAUAUUGACGAGACCAGUUGGAAGAGUUUAUCUGGAGUACGUGCUAACCAACGGAU